UGGGGAAUAUUGCACAAUGGGCGCAAGCCUGAUGCAGCCAUGCCGCGUGUGUGAAGAAGGCCUUCGGGUUGUAAAGCACUUUCAGCGAGGAGGAAGGUGGUGAACUUAAUACGUUCAUCAAUUGACGUUACUCGCAGAAGAAGCACCGGCUAACUCCGUGCCAGCAGCCGCGGUAAUACGGAGGGUGCAAGCGUUAAUCGGAAUUACUGGGCGUAAAGCGCACGCAGGCGGUUUGUUAAGUCAGAUGUGAAAUCCCCGGGCUCAACCUGGGAACUGCAUUUGAAACUGGCAAGCUAGAGUCUCGUAGAGGGGGGUAGAAUUCCAGGUGUAGCGGUGAAAUGCGUAGAGAUCUGGAGGAAUACCGGUGGCGAAGGCGGCCCCCUGGACGAAGACUGACGCUCAGGUGCGAAAGCGUGGGGAGCAAACAGGAUUAGAUACCCCUGGUAGUCCACGCUGUAAAACGAUGUCGAUUUUGGAGGUUGUGCCCUUGAGGCGUGGCUUCCGGAGCUAACGCGUUAAAGUCGACCG
rnacentral:rRNA from 1 species